rnacentral:rRNA from 1 species
GGCGGGGGUGCUAUACAUGCAAGUCGAGCGAACAGAUGAGAAGCUUGCUUCUCUGAUGUUAGCGGCGGACGGGUGAGUAACACGUGGGUAACCUACCUAUAAGACUGGGAUAACUCCGGGAAACCGGGGCUAAUACCGGAUAAUAUUUUGAACCGCAUGGUUCGAUAGUGAAAGACGGUUUCGGCUGUCACUUAUAGAUGGACCCGCGCCGUAUUAGCUAGUUGGUAAGGUAACGGCUUACCAAGGCGACGAUACGUAGCCGACCUGAGAGGGUGAUCGGCCACACUGGAACUGAGACACGGUCCAGACUCCUACGGGAGGCAGCAGUAGGGAAUCUUCCGCAAUGGGCGAAAGCCUGACGGAGCAACGCCGCGUGAGUGAUGAAGGUCUUCGGAUCGUAAAACUCUGUUGUUAGGGAAGAACAAAUUUGUUAGUAACUGAACAAGUCUUGACGGUACCUAACCAGAAAGCCACGGCUAACUACGUGCCAGCAGCCGCGGUAAUACGUAGGUGGCAAGCGUUAUCCGGAAUUAUUGGGCGUAAAGCGCGCGUAGGCGGUUUCUUAAGUCUGAUGUGAAAGCCCACGGCUCAACCGUGGAGGGUCAUUGGAAACUGGGAAACUUGAGUGCAGAAGAGGAGAGUGGAAUUCCAUGUGUAGCGGUGAAAUGCGCAGAGAUAUGGAGGAACACCAGUGGCGAAGGCGGCUCUCUGGUCUGUAACUGACGCUGAUGUGCGAAAGCGUGGGGAUCAAACAGGAUUAGAUACCCUGGUAGUCCACGCCGUAAACGAUGAGUGCUAAGUGUUAGGGGGUUUCCGCCCCUUAGUGCUGCAGCUAACGCAUUAAGCACUCCGCCUGGGGAGUACGACCGCAAGGUUGAAACUCAAAGGAAUUGACGGGGACCCGCCCAGCGGUGGAGCAUGUGGUUUAUUCGAGCACGCGAGGACCUUACCAAUCUUG